UACGAAGGGGGCUAGCGUUGUUCGGAAUUACUGGGCGUAAAGGGCGCGUAGGCGGCGUGUCAAGUCAGGCGUGAAAGCCCCCGGGCUCAACCUGGGAACCGCGCUUGAGACUGGCAUGCUCGAGUUCGGGAGAGGAUGGUGGGAAUUCCCAGUGUAGAGGUGAAAUUCGUAGAUAUUGGGAAGAACACCGAUGGCGAAGGCAGCCAUCUGGACCGACACUGACGCUGAGGCGCGAAAGCCAGGGGAGCGAACGGGAUU
rnacentral:rRNA from 1 species